UAGGGAAUCUUCCACAAUGGGCGAAAGCCUGAUGGAGAACGCCGCGUGUGUGAUGAAGGGUUUCGGCUCGUAAAACACUGUUGUAAGAGAAGAAUGACAUUGAGAGUAACUGUUCAAUGUGUGACGGUAUCUUACCAGAAAGGAACGGCUAAAUACGUGCCGA
rnacentral:rRNA from 1 species